GAGCCAAUCAUAUUGCAGCAGAGCGUGUCCUGCCAACAAGGCUAGUGGGAUUCCUACGAGUCAGCCGCGACGUCAGUUUACGGCGGGCAUUGUAGCUGUAGGCUCGAAUAAGAAGGCUGUAGGCGAUCCAGGCAGAAGCGCCCUGGGGCUCAUCUUGGACACAAGGAGCAAAGCUCGAACAACCCCAGCCGGUGCUACAGCGUAAAAGACUGAUCGAUGGAGCGUCUCAGACGCCGGUCCACCGAUGAGCAAGCGCCCCAGCAAGACUGCACCACUCGCCACAACAACGGAGACCAACAGCGGACCAAUGAGGGGUCCGACUUGGUGGAUUCGCAAUACGGCGACGAAAGGGGCAUAAGGAGGGAAAUAAGGUGCAAGUACAGAGACCUCAUUGAUGCAGUUCACCGAAAUAGAGAAGAUUUGCUGAGUCCUUCCAAUAACAAACUCACAGAAGUUUUGGAAGAGGCAGACAAACUGUUUGUAAAUGUGCGACAGACGAGCGAAGCGGUGCUGGAUUCUAAGUUCGUUGCUGUGGCCACAGACCUGAACAACGAGAGAGCCAGCCUGAUGCGAGAUGAGGACAGUUCUUUUGACUUCACUGUAUUUGCUGAGCACCUUCUCUCCUUCAUGGGUCUCAACCGGCUGGAAACUGGGAAGAAGGAGCAGAGAGAUCAAGUCAGUGGGUACCUGCCCAGCGAUGCCUGGCAAAGACUGGCCAGGGGAGCUGAGAACUGUUUUAGGACAGCGCCGACCUUCCACUACAUGUUGGGUUCCUUCCAUGCUGAGCCGCCCCCUCCAAAGCAAAAGAUGGCACGACAAAGGAAACCCCCCAGCAAGGAAGCAAAAAGGAUCAUGCCCACUCAGCUGAAAAAGCUGGAAGAGGCCGAACAAGAAGCCACCGAGAAAGAGGUGGAGAGGAUCCUCGGCUGGCUGAAGGGUUAUCAUCAAAAGGACCCGUUGUCGCCGAUCCCGUAUUACGAGUUUGUUAUUGACCCCGACUCCUUUUCACGGACAAUAGAGAACAUUUUCCACACGUCUUUCCUUGUCAGGGAUGGUUUGGCACAAAUUGGUUUGGAUCGAGACAAGUUGCCUUAUAUAGCUCCUGUGGAGGAGGAGGCGAUGGAGAUAGAUGCUGGAGGAUCGGACAACCGUAAUGCGUGUAUCGUUUCAAUGAGCCCAAAGAUGUGGAAGUGUACUUGAGAUGACCAACACGACACACCACACGCUCCAAUGUCUGUCGAAGUACGAAUACUGACCUGUGAGAGGCAUACAGACUGACAGAAAAUACAAGAAGCUUGGCUAACUGUUAGCUUGUUUGGAGUUCAUUGAUGCCUUAGACAUCAGGGGCGCCAUGAUUCCGCCUCGAAACACGGACAAUUAGUGAUGGAACAAACAUUGUAUCACAAGGGACUCAACGUGGUUUUUUUGUUGGAAUUAAGAUGUGUUUUUGAUGUUGUUUUAUUUUUUUCCAGUACAAUAAUAAAAGUAGGAAAAUGA